GCAGUGGUGGCUCAGUGGUAGAAUUAUCGCCUUGCAUGUGGGAGACCCUGGUUCUAUUCCUGACCAGUGCA
rnacentral:tRNA from 1 species